rnacentral:rRNA from 1 species
GUCUACGGCCAUGCCACCUUGAACAAGCCCGAUCCCAUCUGAUCUCGGAAGCUAAGCAGGUCGGGCCUGGUUAGGACUUGGAUGAGAGACCACCAAGGAAGACCAGGUGUCGUAGGUG